rnacentral:lncRNA from 1 species
UUCUGACUCAGCAGGUCUGAGGCGGGGCCUGACAUUCUGCACGGCUGGCCUGCUCCGGGCGCUGCUGAUGCUGCUGGUUCCUGGACCACCCUUGAGACCCUGGAUGACCUCUGAGGUGCUGCCUCCUUGCAAAAACCCUCAGCUCUUGGGACCUCUCCCUGCGCUUCCGAAGCCCUUUCAGAUAUUUUCCUGUAGCCCUCACAAAGAGCUUGGGGUUGCGGUUUCUGCCGCUGUUGACUCUCACGUGGGUUGUCUGAGCUCCACAUCCUCCAAGACCGAGUUGAAAUGUUACCUUCCUGAAGAGCCUUCCUGAUUCCUAAGGGGAUUGCUCACCUCUCGUUUAUGCCUCCAUUGGGCAUUGAUUACGGAUGGCGGAGCAACCAGGAGGCUUCUAAGGGCUUCAUCCUGUAGGCGAGAUCGAUGAGGCGCCCACUGUUCUCAUCGGCAGCACUGCAAUGGUAUUUCCCAGACCACACUGGUAGCAGGUGAGUAUUAGGACCUGGAUGAAGGCUCUGCAGUGAAGUCAGUGGGAGAAUCUCUGCCUCCAACACUCAGCUUUUGGAAAUUCACAUUUACAGUGCACAUUUGAAUCCCAGAGUCUCUGAAAAGGCCUGCUGUAAAUAAAUAGUUUGAUU